ACCAUAAAUUUGGUACCUGAUAGAAUUCAAUUUCCACUGCGAUCGUGAAACAGACAAGAGGUAUCAAAGUUGAUAUCACGUGUAAAAAUGCUUUCCCUACAGAUCAACAUUAAAUAAAACAAUAAAAUUUCAAUUAUAAAUUUGGAAAUACAUAUACCAGAUCUAAAGGAAUAAAAUAACAAUGAUUUUUAGAAUCCCUACAUAUACGUGAAUACAACACUUGUUCCGAAAUGUUGCGGUGCCGAAACGUCCGGUACCGAAACGCCGUGAUACCGAAAUAUAGUCAUGUUUACACAAGAUGGCGCUGAGAUAGAACGAUGUGACUGUUCCAACAACGAAUUCUGUUUUGUCACCCAGCGGCAGUCUCACAGGACGUCAUAACACGAGCAUCACUAAGCCUAACCCCAAGAUACACGUGCGUGCGGCUGAUAUGGAUGAAACCACGUGCGAAUCUCCAAGAAAGAAGUUUCUAUCGAGCGAAUCCGAAAGAAGACAUGACAAUGACUAUGUAACUUCAACUGUGAGUCCUGCAGACCCGGCGAUCCGUGAACUGCCACAGAAAACGAGUGAGUGGAUAGGGGUACAUUUAUCGCAGAUUCAUGUGACUGUUGAUGGCUCUGUGACGUCACCUUUAUGUGUAUUUACUUGUGAAUACACGGAUUUUUUGAGAAAUAAUGACACCCACACUCUACCUGAAGUUAUUGCAGAUAUUUACGGAUAUCGGGACCCUGAACUAGCUGCGAAGUACCACUGCUGUAUAAAAGCAUGUACGGAUGUGUUUACAAUGGAUGCUGAUUCCAUAUUUAAUGUACCUAAACAACAACUUCAGGAAUUGAUUGUUGAACUUAGAAAACCAUUCCGUGAAACAGCUUUCGGAAAGUGGAUGAAAAAAUGGAAAAAGUUGUAUAUAGUUGGAAAGAAUGAAACAAUUAAAGAUUUUAUUGCAGAUGCUUGUGGAAGUAUCCAUGGCCGAUUACAAGAUUUUUGUGAGCAGUUAUUGUACAUGGUUAGAAGUGACAACACAGACGUGACAGAAGGAAUGUAACAAGAACUCUUCAUGUUGUUUAUCAGGAUCUUUGAUUUAAAAAUAAGGUAAGUCAUCAUCUAAAAUUAAACUCAUGUUGCUUCUAGUAUACAUGAUUACAUAGAUAUUAUCCAGGGCUCGAAGUUAACAUAUAUGCCCAUCAGUCUGUGUCUGGUUAAAAGAACUAAUUGAUACCCCAACCAUAUAGCAGGCAUUGUGAUACUUGAGCUAUAACUGAAUUAUUCUACGAAUGAAUUUAGCUUUAGAGAUGCAAAAAAAGUACAAUAUUAACAGUUUUAAAUUAGCCAAAUCCAAUAUAGUUUCCACAAAUCCUGUUGUGAACAAUGCAAAUUUGAUCGUUUUAGCUCACCUGAGCCAAAGACUCAAGUGAGCUUUUCUGAUCAAAAUUUGUCCAUUGUCUGUCGUCGGCGUCGUAAACUUUUCACAUUUUCGACUUCUUCUCAAGAAUUACUGGGCCAAUUUCAACCAAAUUUACCACAAAGCAUCCUUGGGUAAAGGUGAAGGGCUUUCAAGUUUGUUCAAAUGAAGCGGCAUGUCCCUUUGAAAGUUUCAAAGAGGAGAUAAUCACAACAAUGCAAAAAUAGGGUGGGUACGUCAUUUAAAAAUCUUCUCAAGAACCACUGGACCAGAAAAAUCUUCUUCUCAAGAACCACUGAACCAGAAAAGCUGAUAUUUACAUGAAAACUUCCUGACAUAAUGCAUAUUCAAGUUUGUUCAAAUCAUGGCCCCCGGGGGUUGGAUGGGGCCACCAUAGGGAAUCAAGGUUUUACAUGUAAAAUAUAGGAAAAAUCUUUAAAAAUCUUCUUCUCAAGAACCACUGAGCCAGAAAAGCUGAUAUUUACAUGACAGCUUCCUGACAUAAUGCAGAUUCAAAUAUGUUCAAAUCAUGACCACUGGGGGUUGGAUGGGGCCACAAUAGGGGAUCAGAUUAUUACAUGUAAAAUAUAGGAAAAAUCUUUAAAAAUCUUUUUCUCAAGAACCACUGAGCCGGAAAAGCUGAGAUUUACAUGAAAGCUUCCUGACAUAAUGCAGAUUCAAGUUUGUUCAAAUCAUGGCCCCGGGGGUAUGAAGGGGCCACAAUAGGGGAUCAAAAUUUUACAUACAAAUAUAUAGGACAAAUCUUUAAAAAUCUUCCUCUCAAGAACCACUGAGGCAGAAAAGCUGAGAUUUACAUGAAAGAUUUGUGACAUAAUGCAGAUUCAAGUUUGUUCAAAGCAUGGCCCCUGGGGGUUGGAUGGAGCCAACAGAGGAGGUCAAAGUUUUACAUACAAAUAUAUAAGGAAAAUCUUUUAAAAUCUUCUUAUGAAGAAGCACUGAGUCAGAAAAGCUGAUAUUUACCUGAAAGCUUUCUGACAUAUUUCAGGUUUGAGUUUGUUAAAAUCAUGGCUCUCAGGGUUUGGAUGGGGUCACAAGUGGGGAUCAAAGUUUUGGAUACAAAUAUAUAGAGAACAUUUUUAAAUAUGAGCCAGGGUGACUCAGGUGAGCGUUAUGGCACUUGGGUCUCUUGUUUAAUGUAAUAUAUUAAUUAAGGAGUGAACCAAACCAAAACUUGCAAAAGAAAUAAAACUAAGCAGUUGUAUUGAAAUGAAUAAUGCCAUGAAUUGUUUCAUCAUCCUGAGAUACACUCUGGUAAUUCAAUUUGCUGAUGUAGAUGGGGUCAUUAGGGGCUCUAAUGAUCCAAUUGGUUAAUUGUAUAUAUUGUUUGAUGGCCGAAUCUUGAGAAUUUUUCACUCAUGGAAACGUCAUCAUUGCCAGUGAAGGGCUGUAAAGUUUAGACCUGAUGCUCGGCACUUACAGCCUUGGAUCAGGGAGGGAUCUUUAUCAUGUCACAUCUGCUGUGACAUGCGGUUUUGGUUUUUUGUAGUCUCAUCUGAAGGACUUCCCCAUUUACUCGCCUCUUACGACAAGCGAGGGGUACUGAGGACCUAUUUCGACCCGGAUCCCCACGGGAUUCCUAAAUAGAGUAAGCUGAGCAGAAAUUCCUCAAUUGAGGGACGUGAACACUUUUGGAGCUCAGAUCCAGUGAUAACUAUUGGGAACCAGAAUAUCAUUUCUGUCCCUGAUGCGCUUAUUUACCAAGCCGCAAAGAAAUUGUCAUCAAAA